ACCACUCUGUAAGGAUCACUCAUAGCAGUUCCUAAUUCGCUUUGAAAUUUCUGAAGCGCAUUUUGAGAUAUUACUCUAGUGUUACCGAACCAUCUUUGAGAAGGUUCAACGCGGGACAUAGUACCAGAUGCAUGCCAACCUUGAAACGGUGCUGGACUAAUAAUUUUACCUACACGAUUACGUUUAGGGUUCAUACUAUGCCCGGAACGAUUAAAACCUUGUUUCCGAGGAACUUUAUUAUCUGCUCGUUAUUUAGCCAUUUUAAUAUUAUAAUUAUAUCACUUUUUGUAAACUUUUUGUAAAAUUUUGUAAACGAUUAUUGCUUUUAACAUGGCAAUGACGAAUAAUUAUUUCUUAAUCUUUAAA
rnacentral:lncRNA from 1 species